CAUGCAAAGUCGAACGGCAGCACGGACUUCGGUCUGGUGGCGAGUGGCGAACGGGUGAGUAAUGUAUCGGAACGUGCCUAGUAGCGGGGGAUAACUACGCGAAAGCGUAGCUAAUACCGCAUACGCCCUACGGGGGAAAGCAGGGGAUCGCAAGACCUUGCACUAUUAGAGCGGCCGAUAUCGGAUUAGCUAGUUGGUGGGGUAACGGCUCACCAAGGCGACGAUCCGUAGCUGGUUUGAGAGGACGACCAGCCACACUGGGACUGAGACACGGCCUAGACUCCUACGGGAGGCAGCAGUGGGGAAUUUUGGACAAUGGGGGAAACCCUGAUCCAGCCAUCCCGCGUGUGCGAUGAAGGCCUUCGGGUUGUAAAGCACUUUUGGCAGGAAAGAAACGUCAUGGGCUAAUACCCCGUGAAACUGACGGUACCUGCAGAAUAAGCACCGGCUAACUACGUGCCAGCAGCCGCGGUAAUACGUAGGGUGCAAGCGUUAAUCGGAAUUACUGGGCGUAAAGCGUGCGCAGGCGGUUCGGAAAGAAAGAUGUGAAAUCCCAGAGCUUAACUUUGGAACUGCAUUUUUAACUACCGAGCUAGAGUGUGUCAGAGGGAGGUGGAAUUCCGCGUGUAGCAGUGAAAUGCGUAGAUAUGCGGAGGAACACCGAUGGCGAAGGCAGCCUCCUGGGAUAACACUGACGCUCAUGCACGAAAGCGUGGGGAGCAAACAGGAUUAGAUACCCUGGUAGUCCACGCCCUAAACGAUGUCAACUAGCUGUUGGGGCCUUCGGGCCUUGGUAGCGCAGCUAACGCGUGAAGUUGACCGCCUGGGGAGUACGGUCGCAAGAUUAAAACUCAAAGGAAUUGACGGGGACCCGCACAAGCGGGUGGAUGAUGUGGGAUUAAUUCGAUGCAACGCGAAAACCUUACCUACCCUUUGACAUGUCUGGAAUUCCGAAGAGAUUUGGGAAGUGCUCGCAAGAGAACCGGGAACACAGGUGCUGCAUGGCUGUCGUCAGCUCCGUGUC
rnacentral:rRNA from 1 species